rnacentral:misc_RNA from 1 species
CUUCUUCUUCUUCUCCUUCCUCUUCUCCUCUUGCGGUCUUCUCUCAUCUGAAAAUUCCAUGGCCGCCUCUUCUACUACCAAUCUCUCUCCUCUCUCUAAACUCUCUCUCCCCAAGUCUCAAAUUCCUCUCAAAGCCCCUCUCUCCCUCCUCCCCAAAACCCUUCAUAAACCCUCUCUUUUACCUCGCCAACCCUCCUCCGUCUCUCACACCGUUGCUUUCUCUGCCAAGAACCCCAUCUCUCAUGUUAUCUCCGCAAACGAAAACUACCCAGAUGAUUCUUCUUUUUCUUUUAAUUUUGAUGAUGACGAUAAGCCCCGUGAAGAGUGUGGUGUUGUGGGUAUCUAUGGCGACCCAGAAGCUUCUCGUCUUUGCUAUUUAGCUCUUCAUGCUUUGCAGCAUCGAGGCCAAGAAGGUGCUGGUAUUGUUGCUGUUAAUAAUAAAGUUCUGCAAUCCGUUACUGGUGUUGGGUUAGUCUCUGAUGUCUUUAACGAAUCAAAGCUUGACCAAUUACCUGGUGAUUUAGCUAUAGGUCAUGUCAGGUAUUCUACUGCUGGGUCUUCUAUGCUUAAAAAUGUUCAACCUUUUGUUGCUGGGUAUCGCUUUGGGUCUGUUGGGGUUGCCCACAAUGGGAAUUUAGUCAAUUAUAGGAAAUUGAGGGCUGCCCUUGAGGAUAAUGGUUCGAUUUUUAAUACUAGUUCUGAUACUGAGGUUGUUUUGCAUUUGAUUGCAAUUUCUAAGGCUAGGCCUUUCUUUCUGAGGAUUGUUGAUGCAUGCGAAAAGUUAGAAGGAGCCUACUCUAUGGUGUUUGUAACUGAGGAUAAGUUAGUUGCGGUGAGGGAUCCUUUUGGGUUUAGGCCUUUGGUUAUGGGAAGGAGGAGUAAUGGUGCUAUUGUGUUUGCUUCUGAGACUUGUGCUCUUGAUUUGAUUGAAGCUACGUACGAGAGAGAGGUUAAUCCUGGGGAGGUUUUGGUGGUGGAUAAAGAAGGGAUUCAAUCGCUUUGCCUAAUACCCCAUCCUGAACCAAAGCAAUGUAUAUUUGAGCAUAUUUACUUUGCUUUGCCCAAUUCAGAAGUAUUUGGUCGGUCUGUUUAUGAGUCGAGGUAUCUUUUUGGUGAAAUACUUGCUACUGAGGCUCCUGUUGAUUGUGAUGUUGUAAUUGCGGUCCCAGAUUCAGGGGUGGUGGCUGCACUUGGUUAUGCAGCCAAAGCAGGCGUGCCAUUUCAGCAAGGAUUGAUAAGGUCACACUAUGUGGGAAGGACUUUCAUUGAGCCAUCACAGAAGAUUAGGGACUUUGGUGUUAAGCUUAAGCUAUCCCCUGUGAGGGGGGUAUUGGAGGGGAAAAGAGUUGUGGUUGUGGAUGAUUCAAUUGUGAGAGGAACUACCUCAUCAAAAAUUGUUAGAUUGAUUAAGGAGGCUGGCGCUAAGGAGGUUCAUAUGAGGAUUGCUAGCCCUCCAAUUAUUGCUUCUUGUUAUUAUGGAGUAGAUACACCAAGUUCGGAGGAGUUGAUAUCUAACCGGAUGACUGUGGAGGAAAUCAGGGAGUUUAUUGGGUGUGAUUCACUUGCCUUUCUACCAUUGGAUAGAUUGAAGAACUUGUUGGGAGAUGAUUCUCCAAAUUAUUGUUAUGCUUGCUUCUCUGGUAGGUACCCAGUCCAGCCAAAGGAAGUUAAAGUGAAACGGGUUGGUGACUUUAUGGAUGAUGGGUUGAAUGGAAGUAUUGAGUCCAUUGAUGGGGGCUGGGUUCAAGGACCUCUAAGUCAUGAUAUGGAGAAAGUUAGCGAAGUCCGGAAGUUGUCAUCCCUGUCAUGAUGUAUACUCUGAUUUGCAGAAUUGAUUGGUUAUCAAGGGUAUCAACUAUCAAGUAUGUGAUGCAGAGAGUGGCAGAUGUCUUCAAUGAUUCUAAUAUAACCUAUAUAUGUUUCCUUGGAUAAAUUGAGGUUCCAAAACUAGAACUUUCACAAUUUUGUUGGGUAUUCUAAAUUUUGCAGGAUUUAAUAUAAGUACGUGGUUUUAUCUUUCCUUGACGGUAGACAAUUUCUGCUAAGAACUCAAUAUUCUUUUGUCCUUAUUCUAUUUGUAUACAAGGAUAAAUGUUGUCACUUGAUGAUAGGAUACAAGGUUUAAGUGCAUGAUGAUGAGUUGUACUGAACUGAUUCAGAAUUUUACUGGCAGGUGUCACAUGAUUCAUAAUUUUAAAUUUGAUUUUUUUUUCCGGUUCACUUGGGUCUCAAAUUCAUGAUCUCAUAGCACUAGAGACAACUGGUAAUUUGGUGUUCUAUUUGAUGCCAUCUUCUGGAGUUUUGGCUAAUGUGAUCAUGUAGUUGCCAGCCUGAGAGUUUGUAAGUUUUACCAUUGCACUUAGUGAUGAAUUCAAUGAUCGUCUUUGAUUGUUGGUUGGACCAGUUGGAGGGAAUUCUGCAAUUGUCCAGUUCAUUCAAUCAGAAAUUAUGAUUAUGAUAGUUUUGAAUCAUACUACAUCAAUGCAUUGGUAAGGUGAAAAUUCA